AUCGGCUCCUUGCGCGCCGCGCGUGAGACGUGUGUUGGGCGUGAACCCUAGCCCCCCAAUCCAGAGCCGCCACACCUUCCCCCUCCUCAUUCCCUCGUCCGCCGCCGCACUCCCUCCCUCCUCCCUCGUCGCCACACCCUCCGCCCUAGCACCGCGCGCUCGUUCUGUCGUCUCAUAUACCAUCGCUGCCGGCCCCUGCCAUGGUGUCGCGGCGCUCUUCCUGCGCCCUCACGUCCGACCUCACCAGGUCCUCGAUCUCAGCCUCAUCGGCUUGCUGCGGCGGCCGCUCUCGACGCCGUCCUUGCGACACGACAGCGGCAAACCCGAGCGCCGACAGCUAAUGUGGUGGUGCAGCGGACGGCGGCCUCAGCGGGCGAGCGACGGAGACUGCAACUAGUGCACGAGCUCGGACCUCAAUGUGUCCGUGCUUGAAUAGCUCGCAUCUUCACGGCCACCAAGUGCAAAGGCUAGUAGUUAAAUUUUCUACGGAUGAGUCCUUGUCGGAUGGAUGGUGACUAACGAGAUGCACUUCUUUGCCACAAGUAAUUUUAAUAAAGGGAUUGUGUACAAGUGUUCAGAUCUUUUCUUGUGAGAAGGAUGCACAAAAUCAAGUUUUUUGUCGGUAGGAGCUUUUUUCGCUGUCCAACUGUUCAGUUCCACUGGAACAAGGGGUCCACUGGACUUCUAUUGUUUCCGAACUUGAUGUGGAUAAAAUCAACCAGAGUAUUAUGGUGAAACCAAGUUUCACCACUUGACAACUUACAGGGCCUUUCAAGGAAUUCUUCCUGUCAAAAAUGAGGGGCCAAUGUAUGAUGUUCAGUGAUCUUCUUCAGGUUCUGAAUUUGUUGUGGUCUAUGGAUAUAUCCUUACAUCGUCCUUACAUGAACCAUAACAUUUCUAGUUUAAUGUCUUUGUUUUCUACAACUGUUCCUUGACUAAAUCUUGGUUAGGCUGGCCAGAGCACCAAUAUUCAGCCAAAAAUGCAUUCCUCUUCACGAGCUUGGUGAAGGCCAUUAUAAUACGAUAAGAUGGAAUCCUGAAGGGCGAUCUUUCUGGGACUAUUCAGAAAGAAAUUAGUAGGGAAAACAAAGGCUAAAUGGCAUGUGCGAUGGUCGCCAUUUUCUGAUAGUCACUACAGCUCCAAGGCUUCAAAUAGAUAAUGAGUACAUUUCCUGCAACUUUAGCAUGAUAAUGGAAAUGGUGGAGGAUCCUUACAUGAUUAUCUUCAUAUUUCCUGGUGCAGUUUAAGAAGAUGUGUCGAAAAACUGUAUCAGGUAUGUCGACAGCAUAACAUGUUUCUCUGUAAUCUAUAUCCCUUGUUGGUACUAAAAAAUUUGCGACAUGUCGAAGAAAUAAAUAUGCAAGCCCUCACAUUGCCCUCAUGAUUGUUGCUUCUGAAUUGUACAUGUUGAAUAGAAGCCAGAAUAUCCUGAAAGACUUGGUGACAUUGCUGACCUCACAAUAUCUUUGUAUAGCAUAAAAAUGAAGAAACAAAGAAGUAAUGUUCCAGUAUAUUUGCAGAGGUGAAAUAUUAACGCCAGUUCGAGCACACCGGCCUCGAUGGCAAGAGACCACUACCAUCAGUGUAGUGGUAUAGCAUAGUGUGAGCAAUCAGGAACAAAAACAGGAGGUUUAAUUUUCACAAAUCGGUACUGCAUAUUUUUCAGAAGAUAUGCAUUGUGAUUGAACAUGAGAAAUCCUUUACCUCCCUGUACUUCAAGGUGUGUUCUGCUCUAAAAUGACAAGCACCCAACGAAGUGAGAGCGCAAACCACAUGUUGAAGAGUUAUAUGCCACCUGCUAGCCCGAUGCACAUUUUUUUGAGGCAGUAUAUGAGGCUCCAGUUUGACCGUGGGAGGGAGGAAAGUUACGAAAGGACUAUUUGUCAGAAAAACUGAUGGAGGUGUCAUCAGGAGAGCAAAUCUGGCAAAUGGCAAUAGAGCAGCAUGCAAGCAAAGUGUACACUCGUGCUAUGUUUUGGAGCCCCGUCGAAAGGUUUGGAGGCCCAGGAAGGUAGUGUUGGGGCGUCCGUCGGCGUGAAUGCGCUUCAAUGACUAGCACCACCGGAGUAGCAGAGAGGUGUAGGGAGGCCGUCGAACAGCCGGGAGAAAGCACCACACGAGGGUCUGAGCAAGCAUACCAGGUUUUGCAGCAUCUGCCCGCGUGAAGGCCACAAGCAGACGACAUGCCCUGAUCGUGGAGAUGCACCUAAACAGCCCCGCAAACCCGGAAAGUGCAAGAACUGUUGAAUGGAAAGGCGCCGCAGGAACACGUGCACACGCCUACUGGGUGGUGCACAGAUGUAGUCUAGAAGAUUUAAAAUUUCGUGUGUAAUGUGUGAUUCAAGGAUUUUCUGGUGUGUGUUGUGAGCCAUGCUCCACGAUUGUUCCUCCAGUGCUUAAUCUUAGUGCUGUUGUAUUCCAUAGUGUUGUAUGGUAAGUCCGUAACUCAACAGAACUUCACAAUUAUGAUAGAAGAAAUGUUGGGCGUGACAUCUACAUUUUCCAAUC